GACGAACGCUGGCGGCGUGCCUAAUACAUGCAAGUAGAACGCACAGUUUAUACCGUAGCUUGCUACACCAUAGACUGUGAGUUGCGAACGGGUGAGUAACGCGUAGGUAACCUGCCUGGUAGCGGGGGAUAACUAUUGGAAACGAUAGCUAAUACCGCAUAAUAUUAAUUAUUGCAUGAUAAUUAAUUGGAAGGUGCAAUUGCACCACUACCAGAUGGACCUGCGUUGUAUUAGCUAGUAGGUGAGGUAACGGCUCACCUAGGCGACGAUACAUAGCCGACCUGAGAGGGUGAUCGGCCAAACUGGGACUGGGACACGGCCCAGACUCCUACGGGAGGCAGCAGGAGGGAAUCUUCGGCAAUGGACGAAAGUCUGACCGAGCAACGCCGCGUGAGUGAAGAAGGUUUUCGGAUCGUAAAGCUCUGUUGUAAGAGAAGAACGGGUGUGAGAGUGGAAAGUUCACACUGUGACGGUAUCUUACCAGAAAGGGACGGCUAACUACGUG
rnacentral:rRNA from 1 species